rnacentral:rRNA from 1 species
UACAGAGGUCCCAAGCGUUGUUCGGAUUCACUGGGCGUAAAGGGUGCGUAGGCGGUCGGGUAAGUCUGACGUGAAAUCUUCAAGCUUAACUUGGAAACUGCGUCGGAUACUAUUCGGCUGGAGGAAUGGAGGGGAGACUGGAAUUACUGGUGUAGCGGUGAAAUGCGUAGAUAUCGAUGAAGAGACCAGUGGCGAAGGCGGACUCU